AUCGCUUCCUGGCCUUUUGACUAAGAUCAAGUGUAGUAUCUGUUCUUAUCAGUUUAAUAUCUGAUACAUCCUCUAUCCAAAUGCUGGGAUUAUAGGUGCUUGCCACGAUGCCAAGUCUCAGUCAUCAUCUCAGCACACCAUGGGGGCAGGACUGGCAUGACUUGUGGUGAUGGGGACUGAACCCCAG